AUCAGUAUGAAUUUAAUUUUGGUUCUGAUUGAACGUUUUUCAGUAGUUUUAAGACAUGCAAAUCGUUGUUCUAAACAAAUUUAUAAAUUAAAAUUACUAUUAAUAGUAAUUUUAAUAUUUUAAAUUAAUAGGAAUAAGGUGUAAAGGUGAGUAUUGUAAAUUAGAUACCUUAUAGACUCCUUAAUUCGGAGAUAAUUUUAUUUCUCUAAUGUUAAUCAAAUUUGGUAAACUAAGAGAUACUUAAUUAAAAAAUAGAAAAAAAAAGGGCUUUAUUUUUUACCGUUUUGCGGUAGAAUUUAUUUAAGAUAUUAUCUGGCCUUCUCUAAAAUUAAAUAAUAUUAUUAUAAUAAUAAUAACAAGGCCCUUUGGGCGUAAUAUUAAUUAGGGUUAUAUUCUUUAAAAAAGGAAAGUAAAAGAUAAAUUAGCUAUUUAUUAAAAAAAGGAAAUUUUCUGCUAUAAGAUUCGAUUUAUUUUGUUUAAAGGUAGUUGGUGGGGUAAAUGCCUACCAAGCCUACGAUCAAAAGCCAUGUUUGAUAGAACAGAUGGCCACAUUGGGAAUGAAAUGCCCCAAGUAGUGUAAACUACCAGCAGUCAAGAAUAUUAGUCAAUGCUCGCAAGAGUGAACUAGCUAACUGAAAUCACAUGAGUCAUGCGUAAUUGUUGGUGAUUGUGAUAACGUAAGGGAAAAAAAUGAUAUUACCUUACUAUUAGUGUUGUCCAAAACUGGUGCCAGAAGACUCGGUAAGGCCAGAGACGCAAACGUUAGUCGUCCUAAUCAGGCGUAAAGGGUAUGUAGGCUGCUUUAAAAGUUUUAUUUAUAAAUAGCUCUGUAACCAUAUAUAAAAAUGUGAAUAAAAUAACAAGGCCCUUCGGGGUAAAUAUAUAUGUAACAGUAUAAUAUAAGAUUAAUUAAAGCUAGAAUCAAAUUGGGGAUAAACCGAAUAAUACUUAGAGUAGGGAUUAUAUCCGUAGAUACUAAGGGGAAUACUAAAGGUGAAAGCUUUUUAUCUACUAAUGAUUGACGCUGAGAAACGAAGGUGAGAAUAGGAAAUAGGAUUAGAUACCCAGAUACCUCUCACUGUCAACGAUGAAUGGUGGUUGUUAGUUUUAAUAAAAACUGGUAACGAUGUUAACACGAUAACCAUUCCGCCUUGCGAGUACGGUUGCAAAACUGAAACCAAAAAAAUUAGUCGGUCUCGAAGCAAACGAAGUGAAGCAUGUUAUUUAAUACGAGAAUACGCGUAAAACCUUACCAGUUCUUGCAUAUCCAAUUUUCCCAAAUUAAAUAAAACUAAUUAGGGUCUUUUAAAUAAGAAAAAAUUGAGUAGUUUCUAAGCUAAAAUUUAGAAAUUCGUUUACAGGUGUUGCAUGGCUGUCGUCAGUCCGUGCCGUGAGAAGUGAGGUUAACUCCACUAACGGACGAAAUCCCUGUUGUUAAUUUAUACUUAACAAUUAAUGAUUUUUACAUAUUUUCAUUUGGGGCUAAGACAAGCCGUUAUGGCCCUCAUGAACUGGGCUAUAGACGUGCCACGAAAACUUUUACAAAGUGACGCAAAAACCAGACCUUUUUACUAAUUGCUAUUUAGCAAAAAGUUAAUAUUUUAAAUGCCCUUACCACGUAGUGGAAGGGGUAAGUAUAUGUAAUAGUAUAGAAUAAAUUAAAAUAAUAGGGUUAUAAGGAAUAGCUAAUCAUUAAAGAAAGUUAAAAAAUUAAAUAUAUAGACGGAUUGUCGCCUGCAAUUCGGCGGCAUGAAGAAGGAAUUUCGAGUAAUCGUUGAUCAGUAGCGCAACGGUGAAGAAUGCAUUCGGGAUGAACUAACUGUCUGUCGCUGGGAAGAAGCUUAACUUGGGGGAAACUGCCGCGAGGUUAUAACUUUAACAAGGGAAUACCUAUUUUAAUAUUAUAAGCAAUAUAAUAUUAUUAUUUAAAUUAAAAUUUACAUUUUUAAUGUUUUUUUUAAGGGUUGUUUGUAUGCUUAAUUUAUAAUUGUUAAAAUUUUAUAAAAUAAGUCUUUUAAAGGAAAAACAAAAACACCUUUGUUAAGCUAAUUAGUAUCAGUUAACUCAUUUAAGUAACAUCUCAAAAGUCAUAGCAAGGUAGCUGUACUGGAAAGUGCUGCUGGAAAAUAAUUAAU
rnacentral:ncRNA from 1 species